rnacentral:piRNA from 1 species
UUUGCCUUGCCGGAUCCCAGUC